AGGGGAGAAAAUGAAUAAAGUAUAUACCAAUUUGUUUCCAAGUUGAAUGGCAGCAUCUUGAUAGCUACUUUUCUUGCCGGGACUACUCACACAAAACACACAAACCCUCUUGAACUUUGAUACUCUUAUCUCACCAUUUAUCUCCAUUUGUAUUUGUUUCUUGCAACGUUACUAGUUUGUACUCACACACACUAUGUGACUAUGCUUAUGUGACUAUACUAGUUUGGUGUUGAUCACAAGAGUUGUUAUUCAUUUAUAGUUGUCUUUUUGACCCAAUUUUUCUCUUGUGUAGGUUUAUUGAGUGGAUAUGGAUUGUGGCUGUUGUGGUGAAAACAUGAAUCACAAAAUGAAAAUGGAUGAAGAAUUCAACUUGGUUCCCAUUUGAUGAAUAUCGGGAACAUCUGACCCAAAUGGCACAAACUGAUGGUGGUGCUACUGGUGACACUCAAGAGGGUGAUGAUCACAGAAAAUUUAAAUAUGGAAAACUGUUUCUGGGGGUAAGUCUCGGGGUAGGUGUUAUGGUACCGGACACUUGGUUGUAAACCUUAGGUGUGUAGACUUUGUGGGUUAUUUUGAAGUCAAGUCUAAGAGCUAUUUUGAUAGGUUAUAUAUUUUGUGGGAUAUUUUGGUGUUGUAUGUUUUGUGGGAUAUAUGUUUUUAUGGAUGUAGAACUUUUUGUUGCAUUUUAUGAGAAAUAGAUGGUCCUGUUAAGAAUUGAUGAAUUUAUAUUUUAGAUACAUAAAUACUAAUUGUUAGUUGAUUUUAA